CAGAUAGUGCACUGCAUAUUAUAAAUUAUAUAUUUAUCAAUCGUUUAUGUGACAUCCCAAUAGUUUCACAUAAGAUUGAAAUAGAAUUAUAAUUUGGCAUAUAAGAGACCAUGAACAUUAAUAAUAAUAAUUAGAUUUAAGUAUUUUGGGCCAGUGGUUUGGGCCAACGAAUUGUUAUUGCUAGCGGGUCAGAUCGUUAUAUUUGGUAUUAGAGCCAAUCAGCAACUAGAAGCAUAUGAGAUUAGUCUCAGUUGAGCCAGAGUCACAAGUCU
rnacentral:lncRNA from 1 species